GGGCCGCUAGCUCAACUGGCAGAGCAACUGACUCUUAAUCAGUAGGUUACAGGUUCGAGUCCUGUGCGGCCUACCA
rnacentral:tRNA from 1 species